UCGAACGAACUCUGGUAUUGAUUGGUGCUUGCAUCAUGAUUUACAUUUGAGUGAGUGGCGAACUGGUGAGUAACACGUGGGAAACCUGCCCAGAAGCGGGGGAUAACACCUGGAAACAGAUGCUAAUACCGCAUAACAACUUGGACCGCAUGGUCCGAGCUUGAAAGAUGGCUUCGGCUAUCACUUUUGGAUGGUCCCGCGGCGUAUUAGCUAGAUGGUGGGGUAACGGCUCACCAUGGCAAUGAUACGUAGCCGACCUGAGAGGGUAAUCGGCCACAUUGGGACUGAGACACGGCCCAAACUCCUACGGGAGGCAGCAGUAGGGAAUCUUCCACAAUGGACGAAAGUCUGAUGGAGCAACGCCGCGUGAGUGAAGAAGGGUUUCGGCUCGUAAAACUCUGUUGUUAAAGAAGAACAUAUCUGAGAGUAACUGUUCAGGUAUUGACGGUAUUUAACCAGAAAGCCACGGCUAACUACGUGCCAGCAGCCGCGGUAAUACGUAGGUGGCAAGCGUUGUCCGGAUUUAUUGGGCGUAAAGCGAGCGCAGGCGGUUUUUUAAGUCUGAUGUGAAAGCCUUCGGCUCAACCGAAGAAGUGCAUCGGAAACUGGGAAACUUGAGUGCAGAAGAGGACAGUGGAACUCCAUGUGUAGCGGUGAAAUGCGUAGAUAUAUGGAAGAACACCAGUGGCGAAGGCGGCUGUCUGGUCUGUAACUGACGCUGAGGCUCGAAAGUAUGGGUAGCAAACAGGAUUAGAUACCCUGGUAGUCCAUACCGUAAACGAUGAAUGCUAAGUGUUGGAGGGUUUCCGCCCUUCAGUGCUGCAGCUAACGCAUUAAGCAUUCCGCCUGGGGAGUACGGCCGCAAGGCUGAAACUCAAAGGAAUUGACGGGGGCCCGCACAAGCGGUGGAGCAUGUGGUUUAAUUCGAAGCUACGCGAAGAACCUUACCAGGUCUUGACAUACUAUGCAAAUCUAAGAGAUUAGACGUUCCCUUCGGGGACAUGGAUACAGGUGGUGCAUGGUUGUCGUCAGCUCGUGUCGUGAGAUGUUGGGUUAAGUCCCGCAACGAGCGCAACCCUUAUUAUCAGUUGCCAGCAUUAAGUUGGGCACUCUGGUGAGACUGCCGGUGACAAACCGGAGGAAGGUGGGGAUGACGUCAAAUCAUCAUGCCCCUUAUGACCUGGGCUACACACGUGCUACAAUGGAUGGUACAACGAGUUGCGAACUCGCGAGAGUAAGCUAAUCUCUUAAAGCCAUUCUCAGUUCGGAUUGUAGGCUGCAACUCGCCUACAUGAAGUCGGAAUCGCUAGUAAUCGCGGAUCAGCAUGCCGCGGUGAAUACGUUCCCGGGCCUUGUACACACCGCCCGUCACACCAUGAGAGUUUGUAACAUCCAAAGUCGGUGGGGUAACCUUUUAGGAACCAGCCGCCUAAUAG
rnacentral:rRNA from 1 species